rnacentral:tmRNA from 1 species
CCACUUUCAACGCUUGUCGGGAAUCCCUAUAUUGCGAGGGCCGGCUUGCCGGCUAUGGCGAUAAACGGUGCGUGGAAUAAACGUUGUGGACCCGGGGGCAGUGCCCGGCGCCUCCACCAUCAAUCAGAAGAUGGGUCGCUUUCCCUCCGGGGGGAUCGAUCCGCUUCGCGGCUCGAUGGGGGCGAAACAGGCUCGACACGCGUGGUAAAGACCCAUCUUUUGCCCGGCAUGGUUCCGCCGUUAUCGGGCCGUAUGACAAGUGCCAAUGACAAUCAUGAGGCGCUCGCGAUCGCUGCCUAAACAGCAGUGACACGCGCGGUUCGGGGGGCACCGGGCAACAGAAGCCCCCCACU